rnacentral:rRNA from 1 species
AACGAACGCUGGCGGCAUGCCUAACACAUGCAAGUCGAACGAGACCUUCGGGUCUAGUGGCGCACGGGUGCGUAACGCGUGGGAACCUGCCCUUAGGUUCGGAAUAACUCCCCGAAAGGGGUGCUAAUACCGGAUAAUGUCUUCGGACCAAAGAUUUAUCGCCUUUGGAUGGGCCCGCGUUGGAUUAGCUAGUUGGUAGGGUAAAAGCCUACCAAGGCGACGAUCCAUAGCUGGUCUGAGAGGAUGAUCAGCCACACUGGGACUGAGACACGGCGCAGACUCCUACGGGAGGCAGCAGUGGGGAAUAUUGGACAAUGGGCGAAAGCCUGAACCAGCAAUGCCGCGUGAGUGAUGAAGGCCUUAGGGUUGUAAAGCUCUUUUACCCGGGAUGAUAAUGACAGUACCGGGAGAAUAAGCUCCGGCUAACUCCGUG